rfam:Fusarium oxysporum f. sp. lycopersici 4287 supercont2.106 genomic scaffold, whole genome shotgun sequence.
GCAAUUAUAAGUUAAUGGUAAACUAUUCGUUUACCAAACGAAUUUUGUCAGUUCGACUCUGACUAAUUGUA